AAGAACAGGUUCUCGCACAGAACGAGUAAUACCACCAAGGAAAAGAGUACGGCUGUAUACCUUAAUAGAAUCAGGUGGAAUGGUUGGGUCACGCUCAAAUCGGCGAGGAAAUCCAUCAGGGGUAGGUUUUGGCACACCAUCUGCAGGAGGCAAAGUAGAAGGAAUGGAUAAAUGAGAAGGACUAGGGCUACGACGAGGGCGACCACUACGAGGACUAGGGCUACGAGAACGAUGUAAGGAGCCGAGUCUUAAGGAUUGGGAAGAGGUAGGAGCUGGCAAAGGAACACUGCCGACACCAGCCGGCUGGAAUGGAGCGUUAUAGUUGGGAAAAGCAGCUUUCAUGAUGCUAUCGAUUUGUGCAGGUGGUACAUUCUGAGAAGCCAAUACAUUCAUGAGAGUGAUCUGUUGACUCUGGGUAUCAUUGACCGAUCCUGUCUUCAUCCCCAUGGGACCAGAGGGAAUAGACUGUGGUACAUUUGAAGGUUGGAAUAGAGGGUUUGAUAAUGGAUUGCCUGACUGAGACUGUGCAUUAAUGGCGGUAGCUGGAUGAACAGGUAGGUUAGGGACGACAGCAGAAACGGAUGGUGCGACGGCAGGCUGCGGUGGAGUGCUAACUGAUUCUUCGGCAGCACUAGGGACGGGCGCCUUUUGAGCGAAAGCAGC